rnacentral:lncRNA from 1 species
GGGGCAGAAGGAGAGGGAGAAGCAGGCUCCCCACUGAGGAAAGAGCCCAGUGCGAAGGCAGACACUUAACUAACUGAGCCACCCAGGAACCUCUGUCGUUCUGUUUCUUAUGGCAGUGUUGCUCUUAUGGCAUGAGUCACUUUCCUUGCACUUGGCUGUUUUGGGUCGAAUUUCUUAAAUCUGUAGCCUGUUAUUUCAUGUAGGUAACUUGUUACUGAGAAUAUAACUUUAUACUAAUCAGAUUAUUUGUUUAAUAAUUAUUUUAAAAUAUUUAAAAAUUGCUAUUGGAAAACAGAUUGAGACAGCAUAUAAAUCUAAAUUUCCAAGAAUCACAUUAAUUUUUUUUAUUGUGGUAAAAACCCUUAAACAUGAGAGCUACCCCCUUAACAAAUUUUUAGGUGCACGGUGUUGUACAGCAGUUUUCUAGAACUUCUUCAUCUUCUAUAAGUGAUGUGGUCCUUGCUUGAGUGUAGAGGAGAGAAUAAGGACAAUGACAUGAUUUUGAGAGGAAUGAUCUACUCUUUUUUGGAUCAAAGCUAAGAGAGAGAGAGAGAGAGAGCAAGAGCAAGCACACAGCAAGAAGAGAUGUUGGCAUCUUUAGAAUAAUGCCUGUUUUAAAUACAGUAUAAUGGGUAAUUCUGAGGAAUUUUUAUAAAUUUUUAUUUGCUCCACUUUAUAUGUAGCAAGUGAACAUUUUUUGCUAUUUAGUAUAAUUUAUUUAUCUUCAUAGGUAUAAAAAUAAGUUGGAACACAUUGCUUGGUGUUUACAGCCUAACAAAAAUGGGUGACUUGCAUAAACUGAUAAACAUAAUGUAUGAUAAAAUGUAAAAUGUAUCAUGAGAAAAGUAAGGGUAGAUUUGGGCAAGAGAGGACAUAUGGUAGAGAUAUCGUGAUUUUCAGGAGCUACAAAAGCUACUACUUUAUGAAUGCUUACUAUGUGUGAAGAGUUCUAAAAGGUUGAUACAUUUAAUGUGCACCCCUAUCCUUCAGUAGAUAUUAAUGUUAUUCUUGUUAUUCAUAUGGAAUAUAUUAUGAGUCUAUGUUUGGGUGAAGGGAAGGAAGAGAUGGAAAUAGGAUGGAAGAAAUAAUGGUAUUUUCCCCUCCUCAGUCUCCUACAGAGGGUCUAAUUUUAUAUAACAAGAAUGUUUCAUAAAGUCUGUCUGAAGAUAGGAAUUUGGCAAAACAGAGCUCUGGAAACCUUUUUUACGUUGACCUUUGUCCAAGGUGGCCUCAGUAAUAAGCAACUCAAAGGAUCACAACAAAUGUAUGAUGUCUUCCCUCAUGCUGAAGGGACCACAUUUCUGGAAUCGCUUUGAACACAGCAUCCCUCUGCCUGGCAGUUAAUACCCACCUUUUGUUGUUUCUGUUGCUGGGAAGAUCAUCUUGGCUCCGAAGUGUUUAAUAUACCUGAGAAAUAUCAAAGUCAGACUGUUUAUUCAUAAUCAAAAUAACAACACGUCAAUUUCACUAUGCAUAACAUAAGUUUGAGCUAGAAGUUUUGAUGUCUUUACUGAAUUCCUUUGAUCCUAAAAUUCCAACCAAAAACUGUAUGCUCUUAGGUACAGAGCAGAAUAGUACACUUGGGGACAUUAGUUCUUGAAAAUUUUGUUUCUGAAGGGCAAGCUUUUUGGAAGACUAAAUCUUAGUAUCUUUGCUCUCCUUUCAAGAUGGGCAGAUUCAAAGCAUCACACCUUCAAGAAUUUCUAUUGUAUCCCCGUCUUAUGUGCAAAUCCCUCAGCUUCAGGCCUAAUAUAAGAAUCGCAAAGGGGAUAUUAUUGGACAAGGAAGUGGAAGUCAAGAACCUGAUUCUGCUGGUGGUGAUGAGUUGCAAUGGGAGUUAUUAAAAAGUUACCAAGAUAUGCAUAUGCAUACACACACAGAGAUGGGCACAUUUUGAUUAGGGCCCAAAUUAUUUAGAAGUGGUAGUAGAAAUUUAUCCCUUUAUCCACAGCUGAAUCAGAACACUGUUAAAACAUGCCAAAUGCAGUACCCAAGAGAGUACCAGGGGCCAAUUUUCAUUACUUGCAAGGCUCAGAGGACAUUAUAUACAAGCGAGUUUCAAUUAAAUUGCCAGAAAAACUACAAGAGAACUGGACCUAAAAUUCUUUGCUACCAGUUCAAUUUCUAAUUAUACACAGGAUGAUCAUAGUCUCAUGAUAUUGCUGUAUGUUUCUACGUGUAGAGAACCAUGACGUAGGUGGUGUUUGGGGGAGUGCACAUUCUUCCUGUUUUCCUACACUCUGCACAUAUGGUAUCUUUUGAUUUGGUUACAACUAGAUGAGUAUGUGAGUAAAGCUCUCUACACAACGACAGUAGUUACUUAAGAUUAACUCAAUUUAUUAAAUGGCUUGACUUUAUAUAGAAUGCACUUCAACUGUUUCUAGAACAAUGAUGGGUUUGGAUUUACCUGCCUUUCCAUUUUGUUUUUGUUUUAUUAUAUUAAACUAAUCUACAAAGAUAAAUACUGCAUGAGACAAGUUGUAUAUUUGAGAUAGGCAAUCCCCCCACCUGUUUUAUUGAGAUGUAAUGACAUAUCAUUGUGUAUGUUUAGGGUUUAUGAUAUGUUGACUUGAUACAUUUAUAUAUUGCAAAAUUAUUAUUGUGGUAUUAACAUUUCUAUCACCUUAUAUAAUUACUAAUUCUAUUUUGUGGUGAGAUCAGUUAAAAUCUACUCUCGUAACAACUUUCAAGAUGUAGUAUUGAUAACUAUAACCACCAUGCUGUACAUUAGGUUCCCAAAAGUUUUUCAUCCUGUAAAUGGAAGAAGUUUGUACCCUUUAGCAUUUCUCCAUUUCUCCCAUCCCCCAGUACCUGGAAACCACCAUUUUGCUCUCUAUGAGUACAGAUUCCUCAUAUAAAUGAGAUAUAGUAUUUCGUUCUCUGUCUGAUUUAUUUCACUUAGCUUAGUGCUCUCAAGAUCCAUCCAUGUUAUCACAAAUGGCAAGAUAUCCUUCUUUAAUAUGGCUGAAAUAUUCCAGCGUGUGUGUAUGUGUGUUUGCUUAUAUAUACAUAUAUUUAAUCACUUAUCUAUCCAUUGAUGGCACUUAGAUUGUUUCCUUGUGUUGGAUAGUGUAAAAAAUGCUGCGAUAAACAUGGGUGUGCUGAUAUUUCUUUGAGAUCUUGAUUUUAUUUCCUUUGGAUCUGUACCCAGAGAUGGGGUUGAUGGAUCACAUGGUAGUUCUAUCUUUAAUGUUUUGAGGAAUCUCUAUACUGUUUUCCAGAGUGGCUGAUUGAAUUUAUAUUUUCACCAACAGUGCACAAGGCUUUCUCUUUCUUCACAUCCUUGUCAACAUUUAUCUCUGUCUUUUUGAUGAUAGCUAUCCUAACAGGUGUUGAGUGAUGUCUCAUUGUGGUUUUGAUUUGCAUUUCUCUGAUGCUUAUUAAUGUUGAGCACUUUCCAUGUACUUGUUGACCAUCUGUAUGUCUUGUUUGGAAAAAUAUCUUCAGUUCCUCUGUCAUUUUUAAAUCAGAUUGAUUGUUUUCUUUCUUUUUUGCUGUUGAAUUGUAUGAAUUCUUUAUAUAUUUUAGAUUCUAAUCCUAUAUGAUUUGCAAAUACUUUUUCCCAUUCUAUAUGUUUUUUUAAUUUGUUAAUUGUUUCUUUUGCUAUGCAGAAGUUUUUAGUUUGAUGUAGUCCCAUUUAUUAACUUUUGCUUCUGUUGCUUCUGCUUUUGGUAUCCCAUUCAAAAAAAAAAAAA